UUUUGUAGCACCAUUAACCAAGGCAAAUUCCACAUAAGUGUAACUUAUCGUGGCAAUAAACCCUUUUCUGAUUAUCAGUUGGCUAUAAUGUAAACCUA